GGCUCGGUGGCGCAGUGGGUAACGCUGCCGCCUCACAGUAAGAAGGUUGUGGGUUCAAGUCCAGCCUGGGGCC